rnacentral:rRNA from 1 species
AGAGUUUGAUCAUGGCUCAGAUUGAACGCUGGCGGCAUGCCUUACACAUGCAAGUCGAACGGCAGCACGGGGGCAACCCUGGUGGCGAGUGGCGAACGGGUGAGUAACACAUCGGAACGUACCCAGUUGUGGGGGAUAACCAGUCGAAAAGACGGGCUAAUACCGCAUGAUCUGGCGACAGCAAAGCGGGGGAUCGGUAACGACCUCGCGCGAUUGGAGCGGCCGAUGUCCGAUUAGCUAGUUGGUGGGGUAAAGGCCCACCAAGGCUAUGAUCGGUAGCUGGUCUGAGAGGAUGAUCAGCCACACUGGGACUGAGACACGGCCCAGACUCCUACGGGAGGCAGCAGUGGGGAAUUUUGGACAAUGGGGGCAACCCUGAUCCAGCCAUGCCGCGUGAGUGAAGAAGGCCUUCGGGUUGUAAAGCUCUUUCGGUAGGAACGAAACGGUUACGGUUAAUACCUGUGACUAAUGACGGUACUUACAGAAGAAGCACCGGCUAACUACGUGCCAGCAGCCGCGGUAAUACGUAGGGUGCGAGCGUUAAUCGGAAUUACUGGGCGUAAAGGGUGCGCAGGCGGUCUCGUAAGCUGGGUGUGAAAGCCCCGGGCUUAACCUGGGAAUGGCAUUCAGGACUGCGAGGCUUUGAGUGUGGCAGAGGGAGGUGGAAUUCCACGUGUAGCAGUGAAAUGCGUAGAGAUGUGGAGGAACACCGAUGGCGAAGGCAGCCUCCUGGGCCAGCACUGACGCUCACGCACGAAAGCGUGGGGAGCAAACAGGAUUAGAUACCCUAGUAGUCC